AAACGUUUGGCGCACCUGUACCACGAAUGUGAGCAUGCAUGUUACAGAGGUAUCGCACUUUUGUCACUGAUCGCAUCAUAGACUACAUGAUGUAAUUUUUAGCACUCUUUGACCAUCAUUGGCCCUUGUGCCAUAAAACCUCAUUUAUCAUCAUCAGCAGUGUGCAAUGCUGUAGUAUCGCAGUUCUCUCCUUGAACUGUAACUUGACAUUAUGUUCAUCUGGGAACACGCUGUCCCUUUAAUCAUUACUGUCAUGGUGCACAAACAACUGAAAGUAGUCGUUCUUCAAUUGUAAGCUCUUCAGUUGAUCGUAUGUUCACACGCAUUUUGAUAUGCCUGUAAAUAAGCCAUGUAAAAAAUUUCGACAAAUCCCAUCUCACGAUGACUGUUGGCAUUAAUGCAAUUAGGAUUGAAGUAUUAACGUAGCGACACCUCAUAUUGCUGAAGACGGCGUUAUUUAGAAUCAAUUGUGGUCAUUCUAAAAUUUUUAUUGCUUUAGCGAUAUGUGACAUACAAUGUCUCCUGCAUCAGCCCUCUUUGCUAUGAAACUCGCUAGUAUCAGUGAUGACCGUUAUGGCAUUACAAUGACCGUAUGAUGACGACGUAGUGAUUAAGAAGGAGUGACGUCGAUGGAACGAAUUAGUGGCAUUCUCCAGAACUAACUAGGCGUGAUGCUUGCGCUGAGAUGAGCCAGCUCUUGCACUGCAAGACAACAUUUCCGAUUUAGCUGAAGCAUUUGCGAAGUUAACAUGAUCUUCAGUUUAUGUCCUUUAUGAAUGCAUUUUUUAAGGUCAUUGAUAUUUUUUAUGCUUAGCAAAACAAAAUGUGUCGUACUGAAACAGCUCAAAUUAUGAAAAUGUGCACGAACAAUGCUGCAGCAGCAUCUCCCCGUUAAGCUUGGUUGUCUGUUUAGAUUUGAAGCAGAGAUGUGCACCAUGUAUGGUAGACACCAGUUUCAAAAAAACGCUUGCUGGUGUAAUGUCAGGGUGCAUAUGCUGCAUACACUAAUACUACAGUAAAUAACCGAGAAAACUAACCACCAUUAAAUCAUCAACUAGUUGCAAUGACGUUUCUCGCUCAAAAUUAAAAUGCAGUUCAAAACUGCAUUGUGUGUAGCAAUGCUUGUGGGGCUGGCAACUAAGCUUGAGAUUCUGUUCAUUGUUGAUAACACUUUGUUGCCCUCUUUCUUUCUCUAGGUGCAUGUCACUGGUGGACGAAGUGCGUCAUGUUGUGACCCCCACCGUCUACAGUCUUGAUAAUGUGCGAUGUUACUUUUGAUUCCUGGAUGAUUUAAUUUUGUUCUGCUAGGCUCAUGUAUUUCUUCCUUCUAGGUUCUGGUACAUUUAAAUCUUUCUUGUAGUUCUUUUUUAUUAUUCUGUUUCAGCCUUUUCAUUAUAUUUGAUGUAGGCAUUCCUGUAUAGUAGUAAUUGAUUACUUAGUGUUGACGAAGAGCUCAGUUCACUAAGUCUGUUUGAGUGCAAAAAUAACAGUGUUUAGUCAAAUGUUUGUGUAUUCUUAAUUCUUGUUGAUAUUUUCAUCCUUGCACUUGUAGUUUGUAGUCUUUCGGUAUCAUUAGCAUGUUAUUAUAUUUGGUACCUAAAGAGACGUUGAGCGAUCACACUUGGAAGUUCAUUUGUCACAAACAAUGAAUACUAUAAAACUGCUUGAAAGAAACGAAAUCACUGAAAAUUUGGCUGUGAUCCUGCUAGGUAUUUUUAAUUAUGUUUUUUAAUCUGUUUUACAGUUUCCUUCCUUGGCAUUUUUCGA